AGCAGUAGCCGCGGUAAUACGAAGGGGGCUAGCGUUGUUCGGAUUUACUGGGCGUAAAGCGCACGUAGGCGGGCUUUUAAGUCAGGGGUGAAAUCCCGGGGCUCAACCCCGGAACUGCCUUUGAUACUGGAAGUCUUGAGUAUGGAAGAGGUGAGUGGAAUUCCGAGUGUAGAGGUGAAAUUCGUAGAUAUUCGGAGGAACACCAGUGGCGAAGGCGGCUCACUGGUCCAUUACUGACGCUGAGGUGCGAAAGCGUGGGGAGCAAACAGGAUUAGAUACCCGUGUAGUCCCUGUCUCUUAUAC
rnacentral:rRNA from 1 species